UACAGAGGUCUCAAGCGUUGUUCGGAUUCAUUGGGCGUAAAGGGUGUGUAGGUGGCGCCGUAAGUCGGGUGUGAAAUUUCGGAGCUUAACUCCGAAACUGCAUUCGAUACUGCGGUGCUUGAGGACUGGAGAGGAGACUGGAAUUUACGGUGUAGCAGUGAAAUGCGUAGAUAUCGUAAGGAAGACCAGUGGCGAAAGGCGGGUCUCUGGACAGUUCCUGACACUGGAGACACGAAGGCCAGGGGAGCAAACGGG
rnacentral:rRNA from 1 species